rnacentral:tRNA from 1 species
CAGAAUGUAGCUAUAUAAUUAUAAGUAAAUUAUUUACAUUAAUUUGAAAACUUUGGUUCUUUCUGA